rnacentral:rRNA from 1 species
UACAGAGGGUGCGAGCGUUGUUCGGAAUUAUUGGGCGUAAAGGGCGCGUAGGCGGUGCGGUAAGUCACCUGUGAAACCUCUGGGCUUAACUCAGAGCCUGCAGGCGAAACUACCGUGCUGGAGGGUGGGAGAGGUCGGUGGAAUUCCUGGUGUAGCGGUGAAAUGCGUAGAUAUCAGGAGGAACACCUGUGGUGUAGACAGCUUACUGGACCACGACUGACGCUGAGGCACGAAAGCGUGGGUAGCAAACAGC